rnacentral:rRNA from 1 species
GACGAACGCUGGCGGCGUGCUUAACACAUGCAAGUCGAACGGAAAGGCCCUGCUUUUGUGGGGUGCUCGAGUGGCGAACGGGUGAGUAACACGUGAGUAACCUGCCCUUGACUUUGGGAUAACUUCAGGAAACUGGGGCUAAUACCGGAUAGGAGCUCCUGCUGCAUGGGGGGGGUUGGAAAGUUUCGGCGGUUGGGGAUGGACUCGCGGCUUAUCAGCUUGUUGGUGGGGUAGUGGCUUACCAAGGCUUUGACGGGUAGCCGGCCUGAGAGGGUGACCGGCCACCUUGGGACUGCGAUACGGCCCAGACUCCUACGGGAGGCAGCAGUGGGGAAUAUUGCACAAUGGGCGGAAGCCUGAUGCAGCAACGCCGCGUGCGUGAUGACGGCCUUCGGGUUGUAAACCGCUUUCGCCUGUGACGAAGCGUUAGUGACGGUAAUGGGUAAAGAAGCACCGGCUAACUACGUG